rnacentral:rRNA from 1 species
UGUUCCUACGGGGGGCAGCAGUGAGGAAUAUUGGUCAAUGGGCGCAGGCCUGAACCAGCCAAGUCGCGUGAGGGAAGACUGCCCUAUGGGUUGUAAACCUCUUUUAUAAGGGAAGAAUAAUGACUACGUGUAGUCAGAUGCCCGUACCUUAUGAAUAAGCAUCGGCUAACUCCGUGCCAGCAGCCGCGGUAAUACGUAGGGGGCAAGCGUUAUCCGGAUUUACUGGGUGUAAAGGGGGCGCAGACGGCGAUGCAAGCCAGGAGUGAAAGCCCGGGGCCCAACCCCGGGACUGCUCUU